AGUGAACGCUGGCGGUAGGCCUAACACAUGCAAGUCGAACGGCAGCACAGUAAGAGCUUGCUCUUACGGGUGGCGAGUGGCGGACGGGUGAGGAAUACAUCGGAAUCUACUUUUUCGUGGGGGAUAACGUAGGGAAACUUACGCUAAUACCGCAUACGACCUACGGGUGAAAGCAGGGGAUCUUCUGACCUUGCGCGAUUGAAUGAGCCGAUGUCGGAUUAGCUAGUUGGCGGGGUAAAGGCCCACCAAGGCGACGAUCCGUAGCUGGUCUGAGAGGAUGAUGAGCCACACGGGAAGUGAGACACGGUCCAGACUCCUACGGGAGGCAGAAGUGGGGAAUAUUGGACAAUGGGCGCAAGCCUGCUCCAGCCAUACCGCGUGGGUGAAGAAGGCCUUCGGGUUGUAAAGCCCUUUUGUUGGGAAAGACAAGCAGCAGGUUAAUACCACGCUGUUGUGACGGUACCCAAAGAAUAAGCACCGGCUAACUUCGUG
rnacentral:rRNA from 1 species